AACCUUUACACUGCACGACAGUGCGAUAGGGGGACUCCGAGUGUGAGGGCAUAUAGCCCUCGCUUUUCUGUACCGUAAGGUGGUACAGGAACAAGGACUGGGCAAGACCGGUGCCAGCCGCCGCGGUAAUACCGGCAGUCCGAGUGAUGGCCGAUAUUAUUGGGCCUAAAGCGUCCGUAGCUUGCUGUGUAAGUCCAUUGGGAAAUCGACCAGCUCAACUGGUCGGCGUCCGGUGGAAACUACACAGCUUGGGGCCGAGAGACUCAACGGGUACGUCCGGGGUAGGAGUGAAAUCCUGUAAUCCUGGACGGACCACCAAUGGGGAAACCACGUUGAGAGACCGGACCCGACAGUGAGGGACGAAAGCCAGGGUCUCGAACCGGAUUAGAUACCCGGGUAGUCCUGGCUGUAAACAAUGCUCGCUAGGUAUGUCACGCGCCAUGAGCACGUGAUGUGCCGUAGUGAAGACGAUAAGCGAGCCGCCUGGGAAGUACGUCCGCAAGGAUGAAACUUAA
rnacentral:rRNA from 1 species